rnacentral:rRNA from 1 species
AGCGAACGCUGGCGGCAGGCCUAACACAUGCAAGUCGAGCGGCCGUAGCAAUACGGCAGCGGCAGACGGGAUAGUAACACGUGGGAACNCGCCCUUCGGUUCGGAAUAACUCAGGGAAACUUGAGCUAAUACCGGAUACGCCUUACGGGAAAGAUUUAUUGCCGAGGAACGGCCGCGUCCGAUUAGCUAGUUGGUGAGGUAAUGGG